CAGGAAAUAGUUUAUAAAAAUAUUAAUUUUGGAGAUUAAAGAUAGAGAUUUUUCUUUUUUCCUGA
rnacentral:tRNA from 1 species